rnacentral:rRNA from 1 species
UCAAAUCAUCAUGCCCCUUAUCGUUCUGGGCUACACACGUGCUACAAUGGCCGGUACAGACGGACGCAAAGCCGCGAGGGUGGAGCAAAUACCUAAAAAGCCGGUCUCAGUUCGGAUUGCAGGCUGCAAUUCGCCUGCAUGAAGUCGGAAUCGCUAGUAAUCGCAGGUCAGCAUACUGCGGUGAAUACGUUCCCGGGCCUU